AAAGGAUUAGUUAAUCAUAUAACAUCAGAAUGUCAAACUGAAGUAAUCAAAAAGAUAUCCUUUU
rnacentral:tRNA from 1 species